ensembl:lncRNA novel transcript
GGAACCAUGCCACACCAUACCAGUCAGUGAGCCAGGCUGGUUCUUCUUAUCACAAAAGAUCAAAUGCCCAGGAAUAUGAGUCAUCUGAAGAUUCCUGCUAAUGAGCAGAGCCCUGCACGAGGGUUGACAAGACUGAAGCCCAGAGUUCUUUGUCCAUGAAUGUUGGACAAGAAUGAGCAGUGCCUGCUUCUCUUAACUUCGAAUCUGCUUUAGCAGAAAGAGCUUAAUGGAAAAGCAUGCCCUGCACUUCUGUUUUCCAUGAGGAGCCAGAAGUCAUCAGCAAAGCUGCAGCCCAAGAUGAGAGAAGCCAUUCGCCUCCUGGGGCCUCCAUGGAGUGAAUGCCUUUAAGAUGACAAGAGCUGGGAUGUAGGAGGAAGGUCAUUUUCUCUCCAAUCUCACACUAAGAAAACGACUAUACAUCCAGGUUAUUCUGAACCUUGGAAAAAAACAGAAAAAAAUACAAAGGAAGCAAAGGAACAACAAAAAUUGAGGGAUGAUGAGAAAAAAGAAAUGAAGGGAAGGAAGAAUGAAAAAUAAAGGAGAACUAUAGGAACAAAGGAAGGAAAGAAGGAGAAAAUAUUCUUCGAACACUUAUAAAGAUAGUUGCUCUCUGCUGGAUAAGUGGUGGCCAAGAGAACCACGUGUGCUGGUGGAAAAGCGCUGGACCUGCUGCCCAGCACCACAGCCGACAGCAGCAAAUGGCCAUUGAACACUUCAAAAUGCGGGGACUCUCGCCCAUUUCCCACAGACCUAUAUACCCCGCCUGCAAACCUGACGGAAAGGCCCACACACCACACCAGAGAGAUGUGGAGGGACGGAGCAUUCAUCAUAGACAGCAUUGGAGCCCCCGUCCCGGAACCCUGAGCAUGCCUGCAGGUUAUCAGUGGAUGCCUCACCUUAGAAAAGUCCCGUAAAACUGAGGAAGAUUGUGGGAGGUAUCCUUGGGGGUCAUCUAGACCAGCACUCCAGCCUGCCCCAAAUCUACAGAUCAAAAAAGCAAAGUCCAGAGAAGUAACGUCUCAAGGUCACAUAAGUCAGUCCCUAUCAACAACAGCACUAAAAUCAAGGCUUCCUAAAA